GACGAACGCUGGCGGCGCGCUUAACACAUGCAAGUCGAACGGAAAGGCCUGCUUUCCCUUGUGGAUUGCGGGUACUCGAGUGGCGAACGGGUGAGUAACACGUGAGUGAUCUGCCCCCAACUUGGGUAUAAGCCUGGGAAACUGGGUCUAAUUCCCGAUAGGACUGCAGGGUGGUGCCUGUGGUGGAAAACGAUUUUCUAGUGGUUGGGGAUGAGCUCGCAGCCUAUCAGCUUGUUGGUGGGGUAAUGGCCUACCAAGGCGGCGACGGGUAGCCGGCCUGGGAGGGUGGACGGCCGAAUUGGGACUGAGAUACGGCCCAGACUCCUACGGGAGGCAGCAGUGGGGAAUAUUGCACGAUGGGCGGAAGCCUGAUGCAGCGACGCCGCGUGGGGGAUGACGGCCUUCGGGUUGUAAACUCCUUUCGACCGCGAGGAAGCCACCUGGUUGGAAGGGUGGUGACGGUAGUGGUAGAAGAAGCACCGGCUAACUACGUG
rnacentral:rRNA from 1 species